UGACAGCACGGGCGGCUCCGGCACGCUUUGCCUCGCUGUGUUCCGGUGCCGUGCUGCUGCGGGAGGACGGGGCCAGCGCUCCAAAGGCCAGAGCAGAGCGCUGGCGAAUGGGAGGCGAGGAAGGCUUGGGCUAAGGAUGGAUUGAAACCGGGCUGCCUGUUUCCGGGUGUUUUGAUCCUGACGUCGCCAAAGCCUCAGGUUUGCUGAACUGGGGCUCUUACCUGUGUGACCCGUGAAAUGUCCCGGAAGCUGAUCGAUGUCUUCCUGCUCCCGCUGUGUUCAUUUGGGCUGUGCUUCAGGCUUCUCUCCCGGGGCCCUUACCGUUGCUGUAUCUCUUGGAUGCCAUGCAGAACGGAAUCAGGCAGCCAAGCCUCAUGUUCACCUUCUCCCUCACCCUCUGCGCUGCUCGUGUGGCACAGCAGAUCCUGAAGCCAGAGGAGCACGUGUACAUAAGGGUAAAGAGAUUCCUUCUGUCGCACCGGUGUUUGGACCUGAGGAAGGUACCGGGUUUUCUCCAGCUUUUCUACAGUUUUGAUUUUGAGAAAACAGAGCAUGAGUGGAUCCUCAGAUUUCUUGGGAAGGGCUGCGUGACAAACAUUGCUGUGAGCUUUAUGUCUACCAGAGGAUUUUCCGGGUCAUUCUUGCCUUUCUCAGCAGUCCUUUGUGUGACCAGGGCUCCCAGAGUCGUAUUCUGGAGAUAUGACAGAGUGCUGCCCGUGUCACCUCUAGAGCUGCCCAUGAGCUGAUAGAGGAUCACAGCCUCCUCUUGUGGGUCCUGCACAGCUUAGAGAAAAGGUAACCAGCCAAGUACGGGAGACAUGGGGACAAUUUCCUGUCCACGGCUGAAGAAUGACGUGGCUGAGGAUGAAAGCAAGGGGGACAGACCUGGAGACGGGGGCACCGAGGGCUGCACUGGCAGAACUUGCUGAACUCUGAGGUGUCCCUUGUGUUUUUGAGAAGAGAAUCAAGAGGCUUUCAGGUGGUGGUAGGAGGGACGAUGGUGGGGGGGCUGUGUGAUUUGGGAAUCACUUCCUUGACAAAGCAAAAGGACACCUUGUGCUGGUGUCUUUAGCUUUUAAAUUUCAAGCAGCCUCAGUUCCCAUCCUGUCACAGGACCUGCUGCACAGGAAGUGGCACAGUAAUGGAUUUGAGCUGUCUAGAACGUUAUUUCUCCUCCCCUUGCCUCUCCCUGACAAAAAAAAAUCUCUUCUGCAAGCACAGAGUGCCCUGACAGGUUCAGGCAAGUGCACCAAAAGUGCCCUAGAAUAUGGUCCCCCGUAGGAGAUGGACCAGCUGCUGGUUUCUGGAGAACAAGGUGAUAAAUAAAAUUAUUUCCUUACUCCAUCCUCUCUGGCUAAUAAAUUUAGGAGACAAGAGAGAAAACAGGAAUCGGUCCCAGAUGCUGCUGUUGAGAUGGGUAUAUGAUCUACCUGUAUAUAGAUAUAUGCGUAUCUAUGUAUAUCUGUGUAGUGAUAAUAAUGGGAGUUUUUAUGAUACGUUGCUUCACCGUUUUAUAUUUUUAAUAAAGUGUGAUUUUAAGUUAUUAGUUAUGAUAUUUUAUUAUAGUUAUUGGCUAAAGUAACAUUUUCUUGUAUUUUAUUGGUAUCAAGUAAUUAAUGUUAAUCAUUAAUUGGUAAGAGUUUGUAAUGAAUUAUUAAGCUAUGAAUAUUGUUCAUUAAGGUACGUCUUUUUUAACUGUAGGUAUUUUCAUGUGUUUAUAUGGGUUUUUAUGUUAAUGAUUUGGGGUUUUUAUGUUAUGAAUAUAUUAGUAUUUUAUUAGGUUUUUCUUGUUAGUUUAGUUGUUU